rnacentral:rRNA from 1 species
UACGGAGGGAGCUAGCGUUGUUCGGAAUUACUGGGCGUAAAGCGCGCGUAGGCGGCUUUGUAAGUUAGAGGUGAAGCCCGGGGCUCAACCCCGGAAUUGCCUUUAAGACUGCAUCGCUUGAAUCCGGGAGAGGUGAGUGGAAUUCCGAGUGUAGAGGUGAAAUUCGUAGAUAUUCGGAAGAACACCAGUGGCGAAGGCGGCUCACUGGACCGGCAUUGACGCUGAGGUGCGAAAGCGUGGGGAGCAAACAGG